GGGCUGUAGCUCAGUGGUAGAAUAGCUGCUUUGCAUGCAGAAGGUUCCUGGUUCAAUCCCCGGCAGCAUCU
rnacentral:tRNA from 1 species